rnacentral:rRNA from 1 species
GACAGAGGCCUCGAGCGUUAGGCGGAAUCACUGGGCUUAAAGCGUGUGUAGGCGGGCCCGUAAGUGUCUUGUGAAAUCCCACGGCUCAACCGUGGAACUGCUGGGCAUACUGCGGGUCUUGGGCCAACUAGGGGCAGCCGGAACAAGCGGUGGAGCGGUGAAAUGCGUAGAUAUCGCUUGGAACGCCAACGGUGAAAACAGGUUGCUGGGGGUGUGCUGACGCUGAGACACGAAAGCCAGGGGAGCGAACGGG